CCUACGAGAGGCUGCAGUGGGGAAUAUUGCACAAUGGGGGAAACCCUGAUGCCGCGACGCCGCGUGAGUGAAGAAGUAUUUCGGUAUGUAAAGCUCUAUCAGCAGGGAAGAAGCAAGACGGUACCUGACUAAGAAGCCCCGGCUAACUACGUGCCAGCAGCCGCGGUAAUACGUAGGGGGCAAGCGUUAUCCGGAUUUACUGGGUGGAAAGGGAGCGUAGACGGUAUGGCAAGUCUGAAGUGAAAGCCCAGGGCUUAACCCUGGGACUGCUUUGGAAACUGUUAGACUAGAGUGCUGGAGAGGUAAGUGGAAUUCCUAGUGUAGCGGUGAAAUGCGUAGAUAUUAGGAGGAACACCAGUGGCGAAGGCGGCUUACUGGACAGUAACUGACGUUGAGGCUCGAAAGCGUGGGGAGCAAACAGGAUUAGAUACCCGUGUAGUC
rnacentral:rRNA from 1 species